UCAAUGUUCACAAGAAUCAAAACCGGAACAACAUUAGACAACUCAGUUGCGCCCUAACGGUAUAACUUUGCAACGAGUACUUUUUCUCAUUCAAUCGAACAAAGAGUAAAAUCUAAUUAUAUUGUUCUAUUAUGCCCCGAGAGUGUAAAUUUCGAACGAAUCGUUGUCAACGUUUACAAUAACCAAAACCGGAACAACAUUAGACUACUCAGUUGCGCCCUAACAGUAUAAAUUUGCAACGAGUUCUUUUUCUCAUUCUAUCGAACAAAGAGUAAAAACUAAUUAUAUUGUUCUAUUAUGCCCCGAGAGUGUAAAUUUCGAACGAAUCGAUGUCAACGUUCACAAAAACCAAAACCGGAACAACAUUAGACUACUCAGUUGCGCCCUAAUAAUAUUACUUUGCGACGAUUACUUUUUAUCAUUCAAACAAACAAAGAGUAAAAACCUAAUUAUAUUGUUUUAUUAUGCCCCGAGAGUGUAAUAGUGGAACGAAACGAUAUCAAAGUUCACAAGAACCAAAACCGGAACAACAUUAGACUACUCGGUUGCGUCCUAACAGUAUAACUUUGCAACAAGUACUUUUUCUCACUCUUUCGAACAAAGAGUAAAAACUAAUUAUAUUGUUCUAUUAUACCCCAAGAGUGUAAUGUUGGAAGGAAUCGAUGUCAACGUUCACAAGAACAAAAUCCGGAACAACAUUAGACUACUCACUUGUGCCCUAACAUUAUAACUUUGCAACGAGUACUUUUUCUCAUUCAAUCAAACAAAGAGUAAAUCCUAAUUACAUUGUUCUAUUAUGCCCCGAGAGUGUAAUGUUGGAAGGAAUCGAUGUCAACGUUCACAAGAACCAAAACCGGAACUACAUUAGACAACUCACUUGCGCCCUGACAGUAUAAAUUUGCAACGAGUUCUUUUUCUCAUUCUAUCGAACAAAGAGUAAAAACCUAAUUAUAUUGUUCUAUUAUACCCCGAGAGUGUAAUAUUAGAACGAAUCGAUGUCUACGUUCACAAGAACCAAAAUCGGAACAACAUUAGACUACUCAGUAGCGGCCUAACAGUAUAAAUUUGCAACGAAUACUUUUUCUCAUUCUAUUGAACAAAGAGUAAAACCUAAUUAUCUUGUUCUAUUAUGCCCUGAGAGUGUAAAUUUCGAACGAAUCGAUGUCAACGUUCACAAGAACCAAAACCGGAACAAUAUUAGACUACUCAAUUACGCCCAAACAAUAUAACUUUGCAAGAGUACUUUUUCUCAUUCAAACAAACAAAGAGUAAAAACCUAAUUAUAUUGUUCUAUUAUGCUCCGAGAGCGUAAUAGUGGAACGAAACGAUGUCAAAGUUCACAAGAACCAAAACCGGAACAACAUUAGACUACUCGGUUGCGUCCUAACAGUAUAACAUUGCAACAAGUACUUUUUCUCACUCUUUCAAACAAAGAGUAAAAACUAAUUAUAUUGUUCUAUUAUACCCCGAAAGUGUAAUAUUGGAAGGAAUCGAUGUCAACGUUCACAAGAACCAAAACCGGAACAACAUUAGACUACUCACUUGCGCUCUAACAUUAUAACUUUGCAACGAGUACUUUUUCUCAUUCAAUCAAACAAAGAGUAUAUCCUAAUUAUAUUGUUCUAUUAUGCCCCGAGAGUGUAAUGUUGGAAGGAAUCGAUGUCAAUGUUCACAAGAACCAAAACCGGAACUGCAUUAGACAACUCACUUGCGCCCUAACAGUAUAAAUUUGCAACGAGUUCGUUUUCUCAUUCUAUCGAACAAAGAGUAAAAACCUAAUUAUAUUGUUCUAUUAUACCCCGAGAGUGUAAUAUUGUAACGAGUCGAUGUCUACGUUCACAAGAACCAAAAUCGGAACAACAUUAGUGUGACACCCUGACUUCCCAGGGGGUCACCCAUCCUAGGACUACUCCCGUCCUAGCAUGCUUAACUCUCUUAACCUCUUGGGUCUAGCACCACCCAAAAUGAUUAAGCCGGGUUAAGAGUUUAGCCAUAUUAUAUCUUAUAUAUAGGAUUAUCUGGGGUCUCACAUUCUCCCCUCCUUUAAGCCCUGACGUCCUCGUCAGGCUUAGACUCACAAGUACCGGGCGAUGUGAGACUCGUCUCGCUAGCCUGUCAUCCAGACCCUGGCUCAGCCGAGACUCAUCUCACACUUCCGGCUGGUAAUUGGCUCUGAUACCAUCUGUGACACCCUGACUUCCCAGGGGGUCACCCAUCCUAGGACUACUCCCGUCCUAGCACGCUUAACUCUCUUAACCUCUUGGGUCUAGCACCACCCAAAAUGAUUAAGCCGGGUUAAGAGUUUAGCCAUAUUAUAUCUUAUAUAUAGGAUUAUCUGGGGUCUCACAAUUAGACUACUCAGUAGCGGCCUAACAGUAUAAAUUUGCAACGAAUACUUUUUCUCAUUCUAUCGAACAAAGAGUAAAACCUAAUUAUCUUGUUCUAUUAUGUCCCGAGAGUGUAAAUUUCGAACGAAUCGAUGUCAACGUUCACAAGAACCAAAACCGGAAUAACAUUAGACUACUCAGUUGCGCCCUAACUGUCCCGCCCCGGGACCGAUGCCAAUUUGGCUCGACCCGAGCACGUCAAAUAGACGCCGAAUGGACAGAGUUUCCCCUAUCCGCCCAAGGCUCAUCACAUGUACAAAUUCAAACAAGAAAUGCACUAGCGAAACAUGCACAAACGGCUUACACGAGGGUAAGCAAUAGCAAUUAGUGAAAGAUAGGAAACUAGCAUUCAUUCUGUACUAUGAUUCAGUUUAGAUCAUAUACAUUACAUCCAACUUGUAAUUUAUCGAUUUCUUACAUUCAUUACAUCAUUUCAUCAUAUCUUUCUUACAUAACAUUUACCUCAAAAUACACAUUACAUUCUUUUCUUUACAGCAUUUAUUAUCAUGUACCAAAAGAUGAUCAUAGGGUACUUUACUACAAAAUGAAACCAAACUUUGGUGGCCUCUGACUAAGGCGCGAUACCUUUACCUCGGUCGCUCGCCGGCAAGCUCGGUCCCGGCUCUGUGGAAAUAGUGGGGUGAGAACUACAACAAAGUUCCCAAUGGGUUCGGCCUCAACAUCACCGACUUUCCCACUAGGACUAACUCAGGCAUAAUAGAAAGAAUAAGCUGCAUAUAGUAACCAAUCUAUACCUAAUGCUAAUAUGCCUGAACAAUAAAGCAAGGAGUAUGCUCAACAUUAAAUAAUGCAGAUUAUGCAAAUUCUUUGUUCUUUUUAUUUUACUCUUUGUUCUUUGUUCUUUGUUUUUUGCACUUUGUUCUUUGCUCUUUGUUCUUUAAUCUUAAGGCUAAUCCGGGGAUAUCGCCACAUUAACUUGCUUCACAUUAAGUCCAUCAUCGCAGGAACUCACUCGCUAGGACCGUCCUUCGGGUUUACUCCAACCCGUGAUACAUAACUCCGGAGCGCAUCGCCCGAGGGGGAGUGACCGCCCUCAAGCACGGAACUCAUAGCAAGUAUGAUCGAAUUCUUAACUUAAAGGAUUAUAUGUUCAAUCUUGACUUUACACUAACUCUAGUGUUCUUUACGUCACUUCAUGUUGCUACUCUAGCAAUCAUUGUUCUUUACAUUUCCCUACUUUUGCUAACUUUAGCAUUCUUGUUCUUUACAUUUCUUAUUCUUAUUGCCCCACUUUACUUUAACUUUACACAUUGUCAUUAUCAUCAUUCUUUACAUCACUUUGGUUCUUUGGCUCACACUAACUCUAGUGUCACUUUACUUUACGUCUUCAAAUGCCACUCGAUAUAUGUCAUAGUGUCACUCUGUUCUUUUGCUCACUUUGGGUGCUCACUUUUCUCUCAUGCAUACACAUAGGGUUUUUACAUUCAUAAGGUUCUCAACCAUCACAUUAGGCAAGUUGUACUCACAAUCAUGCAACAUCACAUUCUCAUCAUCUCUUUACCCUAAAAUGCAUUCAACAAAUAUGUAACAUAUGCUCAAUUGAAUGACACAUUAGGCAUAGAGAGAAGUUCAACGAGUUUGGAAAGCACCACCCACCUCGUAGGCUUUCAAAGGUGCUCCGACGAUUUUCUUGGGAUUUUUAGGCUUCUCGUUCUUUACCUGCGGCAAAACGAAGCCCUAAUAGGUCAUUUGCUCAUAUCUUUUCAUUGGUUCUUCGGAAUGUUAAUCCGAGCGCACCAACGUGUCGGAAAUAUCCCCAAUUAGGUUUCUAGAGGGUCAAUUGCACUUAGAAAUCCCCAUGAGCAAAGGCCCCAAUUUGGUGCCCUAGCUCCAUAGCAUUCAUCAAACCUAGGGUUUGAUCUCAAAGAGAAGCAAAAGUAGCUUCAUUCUACUCUAAAGAGUCCAUCUAAACCAUCUUUAGACAAAUCAAAACCCUACUUAGGGUUUCACCAUGAGAGGUGAUGAAGCUCACCUUCAAGCUUCACCAUUUCUAUGGUCUUGAUCUCAAAAGAAGCAAAAGAAAAGCUUCAAAUACUCAAAUGGUUCCAUAAAACCCAUUUUAAACUUAAUCCAAACCCUAAAUUAGGUUCUACCAUAAUUAGGGUUCAAAGCUUACUUUGUAAGCUCUCAUUUUCCAAGCUAGAGAUGAGGGAGAGGGAGUUUCUUCACUUCUUCUUCUUCUUCUCGACUUUCUUCUUCUUCUUUUUCCUUCCUUUUCCUUCUCUUCUUCUUCUCCUUCUUUGUCUUCUAGACAGAGAAAAAGAGAUGAGAGGGGAUGAGAGGGUGAGAUUGAGAGAAAUCCCUCAUUUACCCCAAUACAUAGCUCAUUGGGUUGCAAAAUUGCAGAUAAACCCCUCAACUUUUACUCUUUCACACAGCCUGGACUGGGCUGUUCGCGCAGGCGGGUACCGGUCUUUCCUUCAGGGACCGGUUCUCGAAGGCUCUCCCCGCGCAGCCAGAGCUGCUGCGCGCAGGACAACCGGUCUCUCUUUGGGGGACCGGUCUCUCGGGGACCGGUCUCUCAGGUAGGGACCGGUUCCCGAGAGCUAGUUUCUCAGGACUUAGCCGAUUUUUCGACUGUCUCAUUUCAUACGCGUUCGGGGACCGGUCUCUCCCACCAGGGACCGGUCCCCCAGAGCUCAAAACUGCAGAAUGCAGAUUUUGAUUCUAUAGCUCUCGAAAACCUCCCGUAACUCACUUUUAAUCAUUUUAACACCAUCGGACUUUUCGAAGUGUACCAUCCUUGCACUUUGGUCAAUUUGACUAAAGUUCGAUAUUUAUUUUCCGAAUUUUCGGUAUAUUACACUAACAGUAUAAAUUUGUAACGAGUUCUUUUUCUCAUUUAAUCAAACAAAGAGUAAAACCUAAUUAUAUUGUUCUAUUAUGCCCCGAGAGUGAAAUGUUGGAACGAAUCGAUGUCAACGUUCACAUGAACCAAAACCGAAACAACAUUAAACUACUCAUUUUCGCCCUAACAGUAUAAAUUUGCAACGAGUACUUUUUUUCAUCCAAUCCAAAAAAGAGUAAAACCUAAUUAUAUUGUUCUAUUACACCCCGAGAGUGUAAUGUUGGAAGGAAUCGAGAUCAACGUUCACAAGAACCAAAAUCGGAACAACAUUAGACUACUCGCGCCCUAACAUUAUAACUUUGCAACGAGUACUUUUUCUCAUUCAAUCAAACAAAGAGUAAAUCCUAAUUACAUUGGUCUAUUAUGCCCCAAGAGUGUAAUGUUGGAAGGAAUCGAUGUCAACGUUCACAAAAACCAAAACCGGAACUGCAUUAGACAACUCACUUGCGCCCUAACAGUAUAAAUUUGCAACGAGUGCUUUUUCUCAUUCUAUCGAACAAAGAGUACAAGCUAAUUAUACUGUUCUAUUAUACCCUGAGAGUGUAAAUUUCGAACGAAUACAUGUCAACGUUAACAAGAACCAAAACCGAAACAACAUUAGACUACACAGUUGCGCCCUAACUGUAUAACUUUACAACGAGUACUUUUUCUCAUUCAAUCAAACAAAGAGUAAAACCUAAUUGUAUUGUUUUAUUAUGCCCCGAGAGUGUAAUAUUGGAACAAAUCGAUGUCAACGUUCACAAGAACCAAAACCGGAACAACAUUAAACUACUCGGUUGCGCCAUAAUAGUAUAAAUUUGCAACGAAUACUUUUUCUUAUUCUAUCGAACAAAGAGUAAAAGCUAAUUAUAUUGUUCUAUUAUGCCCCGAGAGUGUAAAUUUCGAACGAAUCGUUGUCAACGUUCACAAGAACCAAAACUUGAACAAUAUUAGACUACUCAGUUGCGCCCUAACAGCAUAAAUUUGCAACGAGUUUUUUUUCUCAUUCUAUCGAACAAAGAGUAAAAACUAAUUAUAUUGUUUUAUUAUGCCCUGAGAGUGUAAAUUUCAAACGAAUCGAUGUCAACGUUCACAAGAACCAAAACGGAAACAACAUUAGACUACUAAGUUGCGCCAUAACAGUAUAACUUUGCAACAAGUACUUUUUCUAAUUCAAUCGAACAAAGAGUAAAACCUAAUUACCUUGUUCUAUUAUGCCCCGAGACUGUAAAUUUCGAACGAAUCGAUGUCAACGUUCACAAGAACCAAAACCGGAACAACAUUAGACUACUCAGUUGCGCCCUAACAAUAUAACUUUGCAACGAGUACUUUUUCUCAUUCAAACAAACAAAAAGUAAAAACCUAAUUAUAUUGUUCUAUUAUGCCCCGAGAGUGUAAUAGUAGAACGAAACGAUGUCAAAGUUCACAAGAACCAAAAUCGGAACAACAUUAGACUACUCGGUUGCGUCCUAACAGUAUAACUUUGCAACAAGUACUUUUUCUCACUCUUUCGAACAAAGUGUAAAACCUAAUUAUAUUGUUCUAUUAUGCCCCGAGAAUGUAAAUUUCGAAUGAAUCGAUGUCAACGUUAACAAGAACCAAAACCGAAACAACAUUAGAAUACACAGUUGCGCCCUAACUGUAUAACUUUGCAACGAGUACUUUUUCUCAUUCAAUCAAACAAAGAGUAAAACCUAAUUGUAUUAUUCUAUUAUGCCCCGAGAGUGUAAUAUUGGAACGAAUCGAAGUCAACGUUCACAAGAACCAAAACCGGAACAACAUUAAACUACUCGGUUGCGCCCUAACAGUAUAAAUUUGCAACGAGUACUUUUUCUUAUUCUAUCGAACAAAGAGUAAAAGCUAAUUAUAUUGUUCUAUUAUGCCCCGAGAGUGUAAAUUUCGAACGAAUCGUUGUCAAUGUUCACAAGAACCAAAACCGGAACAACAUUAGACUACUCAGUUGCACCCUAACAGUAUAAAUUUGCAACGAGUUCUUUUUAUCAAUCUAUCGAACAAAGAGGAAAAACUAAUUAUAUUGUUCUAUUAUGCCCUGAGAGUGUAAAUUUCAAACGAAUCGAUGUCAACGUUCACAAGAACCAAAACCGAAACAACAUUAGACUACUAAGUUGCGCCUUAACAGUAUAACUUUGCAACGAGUACUUUUUCUCAUUCAAUCGAACAAAGAGUAAAACCUAAUUACCUUGUUCUAUUAUGCCCCGAGACUGUAAAUUUCGAACGAAUCGAUGUCAACGUUCACAUGAACCAAAAUCGGAACAACAUUAGACUACUUAGUCGCGCCCUGACAAUAUAACUUUGCAACGAGUACUUUUUCUCAUUCAAACAAACAAAGAGUAAAAACCUAAUUAUAUUGUUCUAUUUUACCCAGAGAGUGUAAUAGUGGAACGAAACGAUGUCUACGUUCACAAGAACCAAAAUCGGAACAACAUUAGACUACUCAGUAGCGGCCUAACAGUAUAAAUUUGCAACGAAUACUUUUUCUCAUUCUAUCGAAGAAAACGUAAAACCUAAUUAUAUUGUUCUAUUAUGCCCUGAGAGUGUAAUGUUGGAACGAAUCGUUGUCAACGUUCACAAGAAGCAAAAUCGGAACAACAUUAGACUACUUAGUUUCGCCCUAACAGUAUAAAUUUGCAACGAGUUCUUUUUCUCAUUUAAUCAAACAAAGAGUAAAACCUAAUUAUAUUGUUCUAUUAUGCCCUGAGAGUGUAAUGUUGGAACGAAUCGUUGUCAACGUUCACAAGAACCAAAACCGGAACAACAUUAAACUACUCAGUUUCGCCCUAACAAUAUAAAUUUGCAUCGAGUACUUUUUCUCAUUUAAUCAAAAAAAAGUAAAACCUAAUUAUAUUGUUCUAAUAUACCCCGAGAGUGUAAUGUUGGAAGGAAUCGAUGUCAACGUUCACAAGAAUCAAAACCGAAACAACAUUAGACUACUCACUUGCGCCCUAAUAUUAUAACUUUGCAACGAGUACUUUUUCUCAUUCAAUCAAACAAAGAGUAAAUCCUAAUUAUAUUGUUCUAUUAUGCCCCGAGAGUGUAAUGUUGGAAGGAAUCGAUGUCAACGUUCACUAGAACCAAAACCGGAACUGCAUUAGACAACUCACUUGCGCCGUAACAGUAUAAAUUUGCAACGAGUGCUUUUUCUCAUUCUAUCGAACAAAGAGUAAAAGCUAAUUAUAUUUUUCUAUUAUGAUGCCCCGAGAGUGUAAAUUUCGAACGAAUUGAUGUCAACGUUCACAAGAACCAUAACCGAAACAACAUUAGACUACGCAGUUGCGCCCUAACUGUAUAACUAUGCAACGAGUACUUUUUCUCAUUCAAUCAAACAAAGAAUAAAAGCUAAUUAUAUUGUUGUAUUAUGCCCCGAGUGCGUAAAUUUUCGACAAAUCGAUGUCAAUGUUCAUAAGAACCAAAACCGGAACAACAUUAGGCUACUCAGUUGCGCCCUAACAGUAUAAAUUGGCAACGAGGGCUUUUUCUCAUUCUAUCGAACGAAGAGUAAAAAAUGUGUCGGUUCUAUUAUGCCCCGAGAGGGUAAAUUAGAUGUCCACAUUCACAAGAACGAAAACCGGAACAACAUUAAGCUACUCAAUUGCGGCCAAACAGCAUAAAUUUGGAACGAGUAAUUUUUCUCAUUCAAUCGAACAAAGAGUAAUACCUAAUUAAAAUGUUCUAUUAUGCCCCGAGAGGGUAAAUUAGAUAUCCACGUUCACAAGAACGAAAACCGGAACAACAUUAGACUACUCAAUUGCGCCCUAACAGUAUAAAUUUGCAACGUGUACUUUUUCUCAUUCAUUCAAACAAAGAGUAAAACCUAAUUAAAAUGUUCUAUUAUGCCCUGAGAGGGUAAAUUAGAUGUCCACGUUCACAAAACGAGAACCGGAACAACAUUAGGCUACUCAAUUGCGCCCUAACAUUAUAAAUUUGCAACGAGUACUUUUUCUCAUUCAAGCGAAUAAAGAGCAAAACCUAAUUAAAAUAUUCUAUUAUGCCCCGGGGAGGUAAAUUAGAUGUCCACGUUCACAAGAACGAAAACCGGAACAACAUUAAGCUACUCAAUUGCGGCCAAACAGUAUAAAUUUGGAACGAGUACUUUUUCUCAUUCAACCGAAUAAAGAGUAAUACCUAAUUAAAAUGUUAUAUUAUGCCCCGAGAGGGUAAAUUAGAUAUCCACUGUCACGCCCCGAGACCGAUACCAAUUUGGUCCGGCCCGGGCGCGUCGAACAGACGCCGAACGGACAGGACCUACCCCGUCCGCCCAAGGCUAACCAACGGAUCAUGUAUAAGAAUUUACCCAGAAAUCAAUUCAUAAAUACACGA
rnacentral:lncRNA from 1 species